CAAAGGAGCAGCCAUUGAUAUAUUUCUUGCAAAGCUCUGAAGAAGCUUUUAUACAAAGCACCGAUUCUACCAUGUUUCAUGCAUUAUUGCUUGAAAAAACUAUUUAAUGAAUUCAAGAUUCAAAAGCGCUACAUGGCCAGAUUAAAAACCAGUGCAAAAAACAGGCUUACGUGGCAGAACCAAACAAAAAGUCUCUGUUUAAAAAACGUGAAAUGACCCCAAAAAUGUAAGGGCAAAACAAAACGCCCCACAGAAUCCCUUUCUCUGCAAACAAUAAAGCCAUUUCUCCCUAUUGAUCGAAGAAAUCCUCACCGUCACCAUCUCCGACCGAACUUCAAUCGAAGGUGACGGCACCGCUCCGGCUGCACUUGAAUUAGUUGAAGGUUUUGCCUCUGCUUCAGGUGCACUUGCAGGCUUCACCGCCUCUCGCGUCACCAUCUCUGGCCGGCCGCUAAAUCAACGCUCCUAUUGUCGCCAUCUCCCGUCCAUUUUAACCAGUUUGGGUAAUUAUACUCCUUUAUCCCCUUCAUUAUCAACCCGACUUUGUGCUGGAAACACAAAGUUUUGAUGCAUGAUGAGGAAGAUAAGUCAUGUUCCGAAGAAGCCUGCUCAAGGCGGCAAGAAUUCUACACGUAGAGGAUAUAUUUCUGCUGAGGAACCAACCUUGAAAAAUUAAUAUUCGAAGGGAUGAUGGAGAUGCAUGGAUUAUAUUUCACAUUGCAAUUUUAAGUCCAAAACAGUGGCGUUG
rnacentral:lncRNA from 1 species